rnacentral:rRNA from 1 species
CCUACGGGAGACAGCAGUGGGGAAUAUUGGACAAUGGGGGCAACCCUGAUCCAGCCAUGCCGCGUGUGUGAAGAAGGCCCUCGGGUUGUAAAGCACUUUCAGUGAGGAAGAACGCCUGGUGGUUAAUACCCAUCAGGAAAGACAUCACUCACAGAAGAAGCACCGGCUAACUCCGUGCCAGCAGCCGCGGUAAUACGGAGGGUGCGAGCGUUAAUCGGAAUUACUGGGCGUAAAGCGCGCGUAGGUGGCUUGAUAAGCCGGUUGUGAAAGCCCCGGGCUCAACCUGGGAACGGCAUCCGGAACUGUCAAGCUAGAGUGCAGGAGAGGAAGGUAGAAUUCCCGGUGUAGCGGUGAAAUGCGUAGAGAUCGGGAGGAAUACCAGUGGCGAAGGCGGCCUUCUGGACUGACACUGACACUGAGGUGCGAAAGCGUGGGUAGCAAACAGGAUUAGAUACCCUAGUAGUC